AUACGUAGGGUGCAAGCGUUGUCCGGAAUUAUUGGGCGUAAAGCGCGCGCAGGCGGUCCUUUAAGUCUGAUGUGAAAGCCCACGGCUCAACCGUGGAGGGUCAUUGGAAACUGGGGGACUUGAGUGCAGAAGAGGAAAGUGGAAUUCCAAGUGUAGCGGUGAAAUGCGUAGAGAUUUGGAGGAACACCAGUGGCGAAGGCGACUUUCUGGUCUGUAACUGACACUGAGGCGCGAAAGCGUGGGGAGCAAACAGGAUUAGAUACCCUGGUAGUCCACGCCGUAAACGAUGAGUGCUAAGUGUUGGGGGGUUUCCGCCCCUCAGUGCUGCAGCUAACGCAUUAAGCACUCCGCCUGGGGAGUACGGUCGCAAGACUGAAACUCAAAGGAAUUGGCGGGG
rnacentral:rRNA from 1 species